CCUACGGGAGGCAGCAGUGGGGAAUAUUGCACAAUGGGGGAAACCCUGAUGCAGCGACGCCGCGUGAGUGAAGAAGUAUUUCGGUAUGUAAAGCUCUAUCAGCAGGGAAGAAGAAAGACGGUACCUGACUAAGAAGCCCCGGCUAACUACGUGCCAGCAGCCGCGGUAAUACGGAGGGGGCAAGCGUUAUCCGGAUUUACUGGGUGGAAAGGGAGCGUAGACGGCUGUGCAAGUCUGAAGUGAAAGCCCAGGGCUCAACCCGGGGACUGCUUUGGAAACUGUGGAGCUAGAGUGCUGGAGAGGUAAGUGGAAUUCCUGGUGUAGCGGUGAAAUGCGUAGAUAGUAGGAGGAACACCAGUGGCGAAGGCGGCUUACUGGACAGUAACUGACGUUGAGGCUCGAAAGCGUGGGGAGCAAACAGGAUUAGAUACCCGAGUAGUC
rnacentral:rRNA from 1 species